rnacentral:misc_RNA from 1 species
GGCUGAUACAACAUACAAAUCCAUGCCCAGGGAAAAAAAAAUAAUAAUCCCCUCAAUCAGAUUAUUAUCAUGCAUGUUCCCAAGGAGUAAGCUACUGCUAAUUACAAAUCCAUUCACCAGGGCCAAAGACUGCCCUACUUCAAUGAUCAUCAUUAGAGCAAAGAUUGCAUAAUGUACAAUCCUUCACCCAAGAAGAAAAGGGUUAAACAAAUUUCUAAUUCCAAUUAGUAGCUCCACUAAUCCAACUCAUGCAAACGAAUGAAUAUAUAUGGUGUCAUAAUCAUUCACAAAACAAAAGGAAGAUGGAAAAAUGUAUCAUAAUCUAACUGAGCUGAAGACUAAAAAUUCAGCUCGACUGUGUUUACCUAAGAGAGUUCCUAGCAAGGCCUACUAGGCAUUAGCAACACAAUUAACUGCCAUCCUAUAGAUUUUGAGACUGGAGAUAACCAAUGAAAGAAUCAAUACAAGAAACCCAUCUUUUCUGUUACAAUUUAGAUCGAGCAUCCAUACUUUACAACGCCUCCCACGACCCAUGAAUAUGGAUGAACACCAUACAGAGAUGUAACAAGGGAUGUGAAUUGAGGCAUAUGAUGGAAGUGGAAAAUGAUGUCAUUCCAAGAAACAUUGGCAUCUGAAAAUGACUGCUGAAUCAUCUGCCAAAUAAGAUCUUUGCAUUAAUACAUUCCCUUGAAAACAGGAUUUGUGCGGCAUAUGCUUGCUCCAUACUCCUCGUAUUCUGCUUUUGUGUGGCAAGCCGCAAAAAAUUCAGGUGUUGAUGCAAGAACUGAACCUCCAAACCAUACAGCAAAUCUCUGGAUGGGAUGACUGACUACGUUAACUUCCAAUGGUUGUGAUUUUACUUCAUCAUCCAGUCUAGCUUCAGAUGUAAGAACCCGUGCAUCCACAAUCUUCUUCAGAUCACGUUGCAACCUUCUACCAAAGUCCUUGAACAUGGUUGAUCCCCCAGAUAGCACUAUAUUCUAAGAUGAGAAUCAAAACCAAUAUGUACAAGUCAAAGAAAUACUCUAUUAGUGAGCUAAGAAGAUAAUGUGGAAAUAUAAAUAUUUGCAAGGGCGAUGUUUGCUUGUGUACACUGUACACAACCAAUCAAGUUAGCAACUGACAACCAUGUGUUAGAAGGAAUAACUCAUGUCAAAGUUUGUUUUAAAAAAAAUAAUAAGUUUUUUGAAAAAGGAAGAAAACAGCUAUGUGGCCCUAAGUAUAAAACCCUCAGAUCAUCGGUGAAGAAAUGCCAGACAACAGCACAGACCAUUAGGCAUUCGGGAAAGGAGUCAGAUUCCUAAUGCCAAAGUUAGCAUUAUUUGUUUUCUUAACUUAGGUAGACUUCACCUUAUACAAAGCCCUCCUUGUGUCAAUUGGCGCAGACUGAAUACACUUGUCUAUGACAGCUGGUAAAGGAGUGGUAAAGUCGCUACCAUAAAUCUCUGGAUUAAAGAAAACCUGAAGAGCAAAUUAACAAACCCUCAGAACAAAGUACUGCAGCUUGUUUAUAUGAGAAGAAUGCACAAGCAGCAAAGUUCACUAGUGUUUACUCAAAGUUCAACAUAUAUUUUGUCCCACAAAAUAAAGGAAUUAAAUCUAGUAACCUAAGAAGAUACUAAGAAGUAUGUUAUUUUCGAAGCGCCACCAUGUUAUUCCACAAGGCUAUGGCUAAAGCAAAUUUUAGUCCUGAACACACAAAGAACAGUGCCCACCGGCUUAAUAUUGAUUACAAGGAAAACAACUGCACUGACCAUGGGAGAGAACGAAUAGAAAUAUCACUAAUUACUUAAAUGGCAUGAAUACAGAACAAAACUGCUUCGGGAUUGCCAUGUAAUAAACAGAUGCAUAUUAACAUGAAGGAAUUUUACAAGUCCAUUAGUUCCUAUGGUUAUUGAGGCUUCACAACCAACUCCAACUGGAAUUGCUGAAAGGAACAAAAUAGUAUUUGCAUAAACAAUCUUACAAUAAUGAAGACCUUACUUGAUUAAGAAAAUUCUGGGUAGUAAUUCAAUCAAAUAUUUAAGACUAUGGCAAGAAAAAAAGGUCUAACAAAGGAAGAUAGAACACAUAGAACAUGCCUCAGGGCCAAGAAAUCGUUCAUAGCCAAUAUCACAGGAGUAUGGUGCCCCUGUUUUGGGUUUAAUACCCCUCCAAUGCUUAAUAUACUUCGCUGGUUCUUUGUCAUGCUUGUUGUACUCCUUAACAAUGUCAGAACAUGUGUAGCAAUACAUUUCCUUCACUUUUCGAGCUACAUCAAAUGAAUCUUCUGGUGGUACAUUCUCUCCUCUUUCCUGCAACAUACAAUUUUAACAAGCAAGAAGCCAUGAACACAAAUUAUUACAUACAAUCCACAAAUCAAAACAUUUAAAAUUAUCACUUAUGGAGCCUUUUAAUGACUUCCACAAAUGCGGUGUUUAAAGCAUUUGAAAGCCAAAGAAAAAAAAAAAGCCAAUCUAGCAUACUGAUCUAUCUCUCCCACCAGUACAAACUACAGAACCCUUGACUUUAUGAGGUUUUUUUUUAUUUUAGCAUAACGAGAGCAAGCUCCCAGGAACGUGAUUAUAGUAAAAUGAUACAAUCAAAGCAACGCUAUUUUUUACCUCUCAAACUUAUUAUAUAUUAUUUUUAUGGAUGUUUUUUUAAUAUUCAAAUCAUCUGAAUCAAUCAGAUUAGUGAACAACCAUAAACAAGGGAAUGCUAAAUGAAAAAUCGUGCAUCUUCCUUUUCCUGCCUCCCUCUCAUUUGCUUCUGUCCUCUUUUCAAACUAGAACCAAAUAUAGUCCAAAAGAUGAUAUCAAGGAAAUAUAUCUACAAAAUGCUAGCAACCACAGAGCCCUACUAUUAAAAAUUGAAGACAUACCCGCAUGAGCUGCUGAAUAAAGAGAGUGACAUCUUUACCAGCAAUAGGAACUGACUUAAUGCUGCUCCCAAUAACAUAACCAUCAGCAACAGGUACAACAUGAGUAGCCCCAUCUCCAACAUCCACCACAACCCCUGUCAUCUCACACUUGGAUGCUGUGUAACCAGCUGCUAGAGCAAGCACCGAAUUGACCGCAAUAUAAAGCCCAGGAACAUUAAACGUCUCGAACAUAAUCUCACCGGUGUACUCGCGACUCUCCGGUGCAGUAAGUGGGCUCUCGGUCAAAAGAAAGUAAUGAUCCUCUGGAUCGCAUCGCAAAUAAUUGAAUACACACUCCUGCCAGUACCUUUCCAUGGCGUCCCAAUUGUCAACCUGACCAUGUUUGAUUGGAUAGCUAAGAUUAUAAGUAUUACUCGAUCUCGAUUUAGCAAUGGCCUCCUCUCCAAUAAAGAAGUCUAGAUCGGCCAUAACCCCAGCGCUAUGCUGCGCAAGCCAAUUCGCUUUAGAAGUUCUAGAUUGAUUAAGAAAAGAAUCGUUAACAGCAACUACAGUUGGUAAAAUAAAACACGGCUCUACAUUUCCCGCAAAACCCAUUUUAGUAUACCCGGUGCCAUUGUCGAUGACGACAGCAGGGCGAGAGGUGGGGUCCAUGGGAAUGGGAGAGGAAGAGGAAGAGAAAACGGUGGUGGAGGAAUUGAAGAAGGAUCUGCGAGGGAGAUCCAAGAGAGGGGAUGAGAGAGAGGUUCAUGGUCGGGAAGGGCGCUUAGAGAAGCGCAAAAAGGAAGGUGAAUUGGUGAUGGUGAUGAGGGUAGAAUUAGAUCCCAAGUGAAAGCAGCGACUCAAUGAUAAUGGCAGCUUAGAGUUGGUGAAUAAUAACAAUGAUAAAAAUCUACCCAUCUCAACAAAUGCACAGAAAAUUUGGUGUCUUCAUCAACUUGAGCAUCAUCAUCCUCACCGCUCUCUGCUUAUCUAAUCUGUGUAUGAAUCUGCUGUGUGUUUUCGAUUUGGAUUCUUUCCUUGCCUUGCCUAUACAAACUAAACACAAAGCGCCCAACCCAACACGGAAACGACGACGACGACUCUCUCUCUCGUCUUCGUGGGAUUGUUAUUUUAAUUUUAAUGAGGACAGUCAAUUGACUAUCGUACGAUUUUCGACCGUCAGAUUCUUAAACUUACGUGGGACCUAUGAGUGUUGGAAUCAGAGUGGCGGUACCGUGGUGUGAC